CGGGACCGUAGUUCACCUCAAAUUUCUACUAUUAAUAGUAAUGAUAAUAUGUUUACAAUAAGUCUUCUCAAGAAUAGCAAGAGGAUCACAAUAACAUCAAGAUCAUAUAUCUUGGCUCAAGAAUAACAUACCUUCAUCACAUAGAUGAAUCUCUUAGGUCUCACAAAGUGGGUAUAGUAGAAAAGUACCUCAGAUAGGGUAAACUGUAAAUCAACACCGUUAAGAUUGUAGAGCUUACUACAAGGAUUCUCUGCAUAAAAUUUGGGCUAAAACUGACAAUAGCCACUGAUCGUUAAGUAGAAAACUCAGGAUCCUAAUCUUUCUCUCUCCUUCUCUCUCUAUGCUCUUUUCUCUCUCUCUCCGUCACUGCUCGUUGCGCAUUCGCUCCACUCUCUCUCUCCCCUAUAUGUUGUUUCGUAAAAUUUGUAUCGUGUGUCAGUAUAUUGAUAUUAAAAAAAAGUCAAAAUAUUAAAAAAAUUAUAUUUUAAAAAUUUUCUCCUAAUUUCUUGUAUCGUGUGUUAGAACAAUGAAACGAUUUCUUCAAAGAAUUACUCGAUCAAUAUAUCAAUCAAUCCAUAUACGUUGUUUUGGUGGGAUUUGUGCAUAUCGGUUAGUACUGUUGUAUAGUGUGAAAGUACAUUGAUUUUAAAAAAUUAAAAUAAAAAAAUAUCUAAAAUAUUAUUUAAAAAAUCAUAUUUUAAGAUUUGUCUCCUAAUUUCUUGAUAUAUAAAUUAUAUUUAGAAAAAAAAAUGUAUCUAAGCCAUAAAUGAAUACGAAUUCUAGGUUAAAGUCAAAUAUUGUCUUUCAAUUAUAUAUUUGUAAUCCCAAUCAUAAAUAAACCACUACUUAGUGUUUGCUAAACCAUCAUAAUGAUGACUUGAAGUUACUAAGUGAACAUAACACACAUUUAUUUGCCUGAUUUAAACAAUGGAUUUUGCAAGUAUUAUUUAAUUUUUUUUCUCUUCAUAACCUAGAGCUGUUGGAUCUCAUGUCAAUGUAUUCUCUUUCUUUGCAAUUGCAACCAUACAUCAGAUGCUAAAUUAGGAGCUGCCGAGCAUAACAAGAACCAAAUUCUUAUGAAAUGAGGAACUGAUUGACAAAUUUCAGAAAGAAAAUUAAUUGUAGCAGCUAUUUCAGAAAUCGUCCUAUUUUGGCCAAAGGGAAAAUCCUAAAACAUUAUGCCACCUGCGCAUAUAUGAUGAUAAAUACUACAACAAAUGAUAGUGGUUCAUGUUUAAAUAUACUUGCGUAAUCUGUCAACAAUCUUUUCAUAGUAUAGUAAGCCAUCGAACAUUGGUUUUAUGGUUUCGAUGCCAAUUAAAAAAACAUAAUCUCGAGAAUAAAAUUUAACAGAAGAUGACUAAUGAAAAGGGUAACUUGAAACUACCUGGAUUGAGAUCUCCUCCUGUGUCGGAGACAAAGCUUUCCUCACAAAUUUGGCGCCUCUAGUGCAGAGAACUUGGUAUUCAGCACAUGAAAAAUCAAACUGUCAAGCUAGACCAUUAAGCAUUCAUUCAGAGCAAUUGAUUAGAUGUUGCAUUGGUAGUGUGAUCCACACGAUAGGAGAACAUUAACAUACCGUUGUGUGUGUAUGAAUGUAUUUAUCAGAGUUUGCUAGAAAAAAAGUGUAUAUGAAUAAGCAAGCAUACGGGUGGGACCAAUUAAUUUGCUACGAGCGCUCAUAAGCUUUUCUUAGAUAGUACAAACAAAUCUCGGUUGUACUGCUACCUGAAGGACUGCGAUGCGUCCACAGAAAACAUUUAUGGGUACCAGGACAUUCUCCCACUGCCAAUUUAAUGAUUAAUGGAUACCAAUUCUUGGCAUUUGGCAAAUUGCUCCAAGAAUAUACGAGUCGAUAAAUUCUGGUCUUCUCACAAUUAGUUCAUGUAACUCUGUAAACACGUUAAAAAUAGACGCCCGUCUGACUUGAUAAACAAAAAAGUAUUAGCAAGUUUAACAUUAAAAGUACAAUAUGAAUGCUGGGAAAUUGUACGAGGAAACAUACCGAUUGAUAUCUGGAGUGACAACACAAGCUGCUUGUUGGAAAAUUUAGGAACUAUGGUAAUGUAAAAAAGCAAUAUCACAUAACAUCUAAAAUUAAAAUAGACUCACUUAGGCUAUUGUGAAAACCAAACUAACAAAGACACACAUUAUGUGACGUUGUGGUGUAAUGACCAAAAGGAACUCAGACAUGAAUGGGUAUAUCUCUGGACGUCAGUUUGAUUUGUCAUGGAGAGAUGUCAUGAAAGUAAAUUACCUAUGACAAUAGACAAAAAGUACUGAAAGGAUAAGAAAAAAUUAAACGAGGAUAGUGAACUGUAAUAAAAGAAAAGUGUAUCGACAUAGAAAGUGAAAAGCUGUAGGAACUGUGAAAACAUGUGGUGAUCAACGAGAGAGCAGUGAUGAUCAUUCAUGCAACUAUUACCACAGUGUAUGUUAGAAUCUUGAAAGUUACUAUGGAUCACUUGUAUGCUAGUAUUGUACCAGUACAAGGGCAAGCAAAUGUAACAACAGUUGGCAUGAAUCUGGAUGAGAAACAUUAGUGACAGCAAUAAGUCACUCAGGUUAACACCGAGGGUAACAUGAAGCCAGAUUAGAAAUAAGCUGACUAAGGCAUGCUGCUCAUUGUGUUCUGAAGAUACCCUUCUGAAUGUUUCGGAAAUGUCCUAAAAAAAUAAAUAAUAAUAAUAAUAAUAAUAAUAAAAGCCAGAUUAGAAAAGUUGGCUGCACAAACUAAAGAAAAGACAAAGGGAUGACAAGAAAAACAACAGAAAUGGUCAUGUUUUGGCUGAGUCUGACUGAUGUAUGGAUUUAGUAAUAUAAACAGAGGUGUCAAAAACCCAUCCCCUCCUUUAAAUGGUCUUCUUUAUGACCAUUUAAGGUAACCAUAUAUUUCUUCCUCGCAUAGGCAAAACUUCUCAAAAGAUUUAUAUUUAAAUAUCCUUUUUAAGCUAGUGAGUGAUUGGCAUACUCAAUAAUUGUUCAUGGUUAUUUUUUUUAUCGCAUAACAAUAUAAAAUUUGGCAUGAGAUUGUAAAAAAGAUUUAACGUGAGAUGCAAACACAAAGCAAAACCAUUCAAUACAGCAUUGUAUGUAUGAUGCCCCUAACAAUCUAAUAAAUCUCAGAAACACAGGAACAUUAAAAAAAAAUAAACAACAAUAAUUGAUUGUAUCAGAAGAUCUUGUAUUCUAUGAUAUCAUAUAUCCCAUUUAAAUUGGUUUCAUGCUAAAGCCAACUCCAGCUUGCUGCCGAGUAAUAGCAAAGAACAAAUACCAUAUUAAUCACACUGACAGAUAGAGGAAGCACCAAAACCUAAAUUCUUGCACAAAAAUCUUGUUGUUCCCAAUUUCCCACAUUCUACUAUUACACUGUUCUAGCAAAAAGGUGCAGUGUUACAAAGUAUUCAUACCUUGCAAAGCUAUACUAUAAUUGGGUAAUUCCCAAGCAUUUUCAAAUAAUUAUAUAUCGACAACAAUGUCUGUAGAUGGAAAGAAGACGAAGAAGAACGUAAAGGACAGUGAAUCAGAACUAUGACUACGAUGAUACCAAGAAAUUGAAAUUUAAUUGUGUUUCUCAUCUAAAAUCUAUGUAAAUAUAAUAUAGCAUCUUUUAUUGUAAGAAAAGAUAAAACGGAAACAUUUUUCUGACAAAUACCAACAAAUCAUUCCUAUAUGAAAAAUAAAUUUCAUUGGAAAUAAUGCAUAUUGUAAAAAGGACAUGAAGCAAAGAGCAGCAUCGCCUUGUCCAGACUUUUUUACUAUCAGUCAAAUGUGACAUGUUAACUAUGAAUAGGAGCAACUCUGCAUUGUAUUUUGCCAUUAUAGUGCUCAACAUUCUUUAACCAAGGAAAGGUAAAAAUUUAUAUCUUUCAACAUAAUCAAGUCAAAGAACCACGAGGCAAUAAAAAAAACAUAGUGUCCCCUUUCUUUCUCUUGUUUCGCUGAUCUAUCAUCAUUAGAUCUAUCAUCAUUACAGAUCUAUCAUCAUAAUAAAAAGGACACAGAUCUAUCAUCAUUACAGAAUACAAACAAUUUAACAGGAACAUGACUCUCGAAAUUAAGAAACUUAAAGAUCACACUUGAUUGACAUUAGAUAGUGAACAUUAACAGCAAAGUUUGUGUAUUGACCACAUGGUUUUAAAUAGCACCGAUAAGCCAGUACAUAUCGAUCAUAUGGAUUGACUGAUGACAACAGAUAUUGACUAUUUAUUUUU
rnacentral:lncRNA from 1 species